rnacentral:rRNA from 1 species
AAGAUCGGGUAACUACCGGAAACGGYAGCUAASACCGGCUAGCUGGUUUUUGCCGSAUGGGGGAAUCAUUGAAACAUCGGUGGCAACCURUUGGCUUACGGAUGGGCCUGCGGCGCAUUARCUAGUUGGUGGGGUAAUGGCCCACCAAGGCGACGAUGCGUAGCCGACCUGAGAGGGUGAUCGGCCACACUGGGACUGAGACACGGCCCAAACUCCUACGGGAGGCARCAGUAGGGAAUCUUUCGYAAUGGGCGCAAGCCUGACGGANCAACGCCGCGUGAGUGAUGAAGGUUUUCGGAUCGUAAAGCUCUGUUGCCAAGGAAGAACGCCUCGGAGAGUAACUGCUCUGAGGGUGACGGUACUUGAGAAGAAAGCCCCGGCUAACUACGUGCCAGCAGCCGCGGUNAUACGUAGGGGGCAAGCGUUGUCCGGAAUUAUUGGGCGUAAAGCGCGCGCAGGCGGUCUUUUANGUUU